AAGUUAACUUCAUGUUUGACCGACUGCAUUGACGAGAGAUUUAAGAAGACCUUCCCAAAUGAAAGAAGCAGUGGACCAUUCAACGGGGUCAUCAAUAAGUUUUCACUUGGCACAGAGAAGCUGAUGAAUAAAAAGGAGUGCGAAAAUGUCAAACUGCAGCUGACAUUUCUCAAGACAGAGGAAGAAAAAAUGAAAACAAAUCUCAACAAACUCAUCCGUGAGCGUAAGAAAACGAUCUACAGCAGCUUGACAACAACAAUCGAGGAGACCAUGAAACCAUGCUAUGACAGUAAGAUAGAAGAUCC